rnacentral:lncRNA from 1 species
AGUGACUUAGCCUAUGCCAUGGAGUGAGGAAAACGGCAUUUGAGAAAAGUAUUUCAAGCUUUCAGUGUUCUCACAGUUGGUCUCUUGUGGAAUACAACCCGAAUUCUGCCAUAACAGGAUUUGUAAACAUCUGCAGCUGUGAACAUGACUGAAGGGUAAGAAGGUGCGGAAAAAAACAGAGACGAAGAGAGGAGAUAAAUGUUAAGAGAGCAGAGCAGCUCAUUCUUAGCAUCCUGACUUAACCAAAAUGGAGCUCUUCUGAGUACCACAUUGUAGAUACGAAGAAUUUGCAAGAUCAAUAAUGACAAACUUGUUGCAUAACUACUGGAGUCAACAUCCCAGUGAAGGAUCCAAGAAGGCGCUGUGGAGGGAGAAGAGGCAUCAGUGGAGAAAACUAGCCCUGUGUGGAGAAGCCCACAUGCCAGCCACUGACAGGCCAGGUGCCUA